GGGCUAUGUCAUUGGUAGCGUGUGGUAGCUAAUGUUAGCGUCUCUGUGUAGAACGGCACGUUAGGAGAAACCUUGUGGCUGACAUUUGGUUGGCGUUGACCCUCUUCAGGCGGAAGCUUGAGUGAGCUGGAGUCGAGCUUGGGUGUCUGUUGAUAUUCCAGAUGUCUUGGGGGUUGGCUGCGUACACAGUCUCCCAACAAAACAGAUCGAGUUGUCCUCCGCACACUGGUGUGAUUACCCGAUCGGCCAAGUUACGAGAUCGGAGGUGUACGAUUGUUUGAACGAGCCGCGACCGCCAGUGCAUUCAUCUGUUGGUUGCUUAUCUGGGGGUGGGGAGAUUCUACCCUUAUGGUAGGUGCUGUUAAACUUGCAUUAGGAUGUCGUAAUCUUGUCCAACCUGUCUAAUUAUUGACUGCAUUACUGACAGAUUGGUCGCGUCGCUACCAGUGAUUAUUCCUGCGCAUUGGAGCUACGUGGGAGUUAUCCGGGGGCGCUGUUGCUGCACCUUAAGUUAUUGUUAAUUUGUUUUUCUUUAUAGUUUAGCUUGUUGUAUUUGCUGUUUCUACUUUAUUAUUAUUAUUAUUAUUAUUAUUAUUAUUCUUUUUUUAUUUUACAUUGCUUUGUUGGCACUACUGUUUUCUUGUUUUUUUUAGUUGCUGCAGUUAACCACCUGUUACAUUGGCUAGCUCUGAUGGUGCUGCUGUAGUGGCAUGUUUUAUCUAAUUUGAUUCUAUUAUAUUGUUUUCUUUAUACUUGUUAUUUUGUAUUGUGUGAAGGUGCAUUAUUGUGAGCAGUAGAGCGCCUACUCGCUAUCUUGCACUGUAAUGCACAGUAAUUGCAGAGUGUCUGCACCCUUGAAACUUGUGCCAAAACCUAUUCCUAUCCAUUUUCUUACAGGAGCUGAGUACUGAAGGCGGGGCGGAGUUUGUGGUGUUGGUGUUCUCCCACGAGUGCUGUGGUGUGUUGGUGUGUUGGUGUGUGUGCGUGAGCAUGUGUAACCAGUGUGAGGUGUGGUGUGGCCUAUUGUGUCCUUAGUCCCUGCGGGCGUGCCUCAGCUCCUGUUCCUUUUGUUUUGGUUUGUUUAAAAGGGUUUGUUGGCCCAGGCUGCUUACUGUGGCAUUUUCUCAUUUUAGUUAUUUUUUUGUUGUUUAUCCUUUAUAUUUCUUUAUUUUCAGAUGAUGUUGGGUCAGAAUCUUUUAAAUAAAAGUAUAUAUAUUUCUACGCUCACGUCUC